UCACCCGGUACGACCAUUUUAUGCGGCUAGAUAGUCGCUAAAGUAUGCGGAAAAGUGGCGACUGAUAGUCGAAGAAAAUGUGCACCGUCGUAUGGCUGAGUAAACCGUAACCACUGCACAGAAGUUUUAGUUAUAAGUGUAACUGCCCCUGCUUGGUGGAUGGUGGGGAGGCGGGAGGAUAGUUUCCCCGGAGGGGUAGCUGGCCGGGGUUGGGGUUUGCGGUUAGGUUGCGGGGUUAGCAGGUGGGGUUAGGGGUCAGGGGCUAGAAGGUGGGGUUAGGGUUAGGGGUUAGGAUUAGGGUUAGGAUUAGGGUUAGGGUUAGGAUUAGGGUUUGGGUUAGGAUUAGCGUUUGGAUUGGAAGUGUACAUGAUGCGCGACUGACAGUCGCCAUUUACCCGCAUACUUUACCGACUAUAUAGUCGUGUGGAUAUGGUCGUAC